UUUGCAUGCCUUUGGCAAGAGAAACAGCAAGAAAGCAAAGUCAAAUUGGCUCCUCCAAAGUCAACCUGUGGAAAUUUCUAAAUAUAGGGCAGGUACUUUUCCUAAAGCCUAUUUAAGAUUAAAUAUACAAAAGUACACAUAUAUGGAUACAUCUUUCCUUAAGCUUGCUCUUUUGGCAAGUUAUGCCUACAACUUUAACAAGAAAUAAUAAAAUAAAGGGAUGAUGUGGAGCCCUGAAUAAAUGAAAUGAAAUGAAAUGGUCAAUUGAGCAAAAUAUCGUCACGCAAAAUGGUCAAUCAAUUGAGAACAGGCAGGAGGAAAGCAAAAUCAUUCGUCUCUACCUAAAUGCAUCAACAUUGUGAUUUGUGAAGCGUAGUAUAGGGUUCUGUGUACAUCAUGCCAUUUGCUUCUAGCAAUUCUAUUUACAAUAUAUUCCCU
rnacentral:lncRNA from 1 species